rnacentral:tRNA from 1 species
GGCUUCUUGGUCUAGGGGUAUGAUUCUUGCUUCGGGAGUGGAGGUCCCGGGUUCAACUCCCGGAUGAGCCC